GACGAACGCUGGCGGCGUGCUUAACACAUGCAAGUCGAACGGAAAGGCCCUGCUUUUGUGGGGUGCUCGAGUGGCGAACGGGUGAGUAACACGUGAGUACCCUGCCCUUGCCUUUGGGAUAACUUCAGGAAACUGGGGCUAAUACCGGAUAGGAGCUCCUGCUGCAUGGUGGGGGUUGGAAAGUUUCGGCGGUUGGGGGUGGACUCGCGGCUUAUCAGCUUGUUGGUGGGGUAGUGGCUUACCAAGGCUUUGAGGGGUAGCCGGCCUGAGAGGGUGACCGGCCAAAUUGGGACUGAGAUACGGCCCAGACUCCUACGGGAGGCAGCAGUGGAGAAUAUUGCACAAUGGGCGGAAGGCUGAUGCAGCAACGCCGCGUGCGGGAUGACGGCCUUCGGGUUGGAAAGCGCUGUCGCCUGUGACGAAGCGUGAGUGACGGUAAUGGGUAAAGAAGCACCGGCUAACUACGUG
rnacentral:rRNA from 1 species